rnacentral:lncRNA from 1 species
GGUUUUAGGAGGAUGAGGUGGCAAAAUGGGAGAGAGAGAAGGAACUUCCCAGAGAGUUCUCCAGUGAGCCAAAUCAGAGUUAGGAGCAGCAGCCUGAAAUUCCUGGGAAAGCAGCGUGGUCCUCGAGUUCCCCCAAAAGCCAGACGGCAUCGUUGACACCUGACUCCCAGAAGCCAGUCCUGGAGAGGACGCCUGGCCUGGAGCCGACCUUCCUCUCCUCGCUGCCAAAGCUCUGCUCUCUGGGUCUGGCACUGUCGGAAAACUCCUCUGCUGGUCUGCUCUUGGUAGAGCACAGAUUAUCGCUCUUGUGCUAAUUAUUUUUAUGAUUAAAAGAUGAUAAAUUAUUAAACAAAGUCUGAAAAAUAUGCCAAGAUCUGCUCUGAGGCUGGGCCUGAGAUGUUGCCCCCUUGGCGUCCACGUUAAUUAAUAAAUGAGACUCUCUGUGGAGAGGAGCCACAGCUGGAACAUCUGGCAGCCAGGCAGGAGCUGGCGGAGGCCAGACGCCAGGCAGGUGGGGAGGAAGGAACUCCCUGGGAGUGCUCAGGCUGGGAUUUGGUAAUAGAGUCCCUUCCCUCCCUGCUCCCAGCCUAGGACUCAGAGGAGGGCUCUGUGGCACCAGCCCAACAUCUGGCCUCUGGAAGAGGCCUAGGAUUUCAAGCUGAGAAACUACAGCUGAUACCUUAACACUAUUCCCCUCUCCAAAUGCAGACUUGGGAGCAUCCCAAGUGUCUAAAGGAAGGCGGGUGACCAGGAUUCAAAUCUCUGCCAGCCAAUUUCUCCUUGGAUAACUUUUGGGUAGGUCACUCAGUGAGACUCCAAGCCUCAGUCUCCUCAUCUGUAAAAUGGGUAGAAAUGACAUCUAUUUUUGCAAGAGUACUGAGAGUGUUAAAUAGGAUAACAUCUACCAAGAGCACCCAGUUCUCAGCAGAUGGUAAAAAAAUGUUAGUUGGGCUGACUUGAAGCUUGAGUUUUUUGCUGUGCUGCCAUAACUAGCUGUGAAACCUUGUUCAGGCAGCUUCACCUUUCUGAGCCUCAGUUUCCUUAUCCGUAAAAUGGGAAUAAGAAUUCCCAAAUCUUAGGAUCAAAGGGAAAACUAUAUGUGAAUUGUCUAACAAAGAGUAAGUACUCAAUUAAUGGUGGCUAUUUAAUUUGAACUGUUGAUUACAGUGCCAACUCACUGAAGCAUCAACAAGUGGGUUUUCUGUCUUCGCUUUGGGUGCAUCCUUUGCUGGUUCUUCUCCCUCCCCACCUUACUCCUUGCAGCGCCCUGGGCUCAGGCCUCGGUGUCUCUUCCUUCCUUACACUCUCUCCCUUGUGAGCUCGUCCAUCUGUAUGCUGAUGGCUCUCACAUUUCUAAUGCUAGCCUCGACCCUCUUCCCGGAGCUCCAGGUUCCUACAAGAGUUGACCACUGAAACGCUCCCCUUGGAUGUUUAAGAGAUAGAU